rnacentral:lncRNA from 1 species
GUUAUGGACAACCUAACAAGCCAGUAAGCUUCCUGCAUCACGGCUUCUUCAUCUACAACUUAGGAAUCAGGAUGCCUCCCAAGGGAAAUCACUGUCUACCCAACAUCUGGGCAGCAUCUGGGCAGAACAGACUCUCUUCAUCUUCACGCUUGGCUCUGUUCUCCUCUAAGGAGGGCCGGUCUGCACCAGAAGCCAGAACAGGCUUUCACCAGACAGAGAAGGCCACCUCCUUGAUUUUUGUUUUAAAGAUGCAUUUAUUUAUUUUUUUGUAUAUGAGUAUACUAUAUAGCAGGUUGUGAGCCAUCAUGUAAUUGAUGGGAAUUGGACUCAGGACCUCUGCUCACUCCAGCCCCACUCGCUCCAGCCCAAAGAUUUAUUAUUACAUCUAAGUACACUGUAGCUGUACUUCAGACACACCAGAAGAGGGCGUCAGAUCUCAUUGUGAGCCACCAUGUGGUUGCUGGGAUUUGAACUCAGGACCUUCGGAAGAGCAGUCAGUGCUCUAAACCUUUGAGCCAUCUCUCCAGCCCAACCACACCCUUGAUUAAAGACUACAAGUAGUUUUCAUUUCACUUAAAGUAAAAUCUCACUUGCCUGAAGGCUCUGCAGAUUCUGGUCCCAGUCUUUCUCUCCCCCCCCCCCACUGCUUCCCACCCCCACCCCCACCCCCACCCCCGCAGCUCAGUCUCUGCUCUGUCACCACUGCAUGUGCUAUAUGUCCCCAACUGCAUGGAGCUUGAUCCUGUCUUCUCAGCCCGGAGUAGACAUCUUUAUUCACUUCAUGAUCCACGGCCCUGCCGGCUUUCCCGAAUGUUGUCCCUCCUUGGCCCUAGCUCUCAGAUUGCCUUGCAUAGCUCCCCCAUGGCUUUUGUCUGUCUUCUCUGCAGCACUUGGGAGCCCUGUUGAUAGGGGUAGGACUUAUGGGUGGAUGCUUCCUGCCCACACACCUGGCCAGCAUAUCACACACACUCAGAUUUCAGAGCCUGCGUCUUGCUGAGCUGUGCUGCAGGAUAUAGGCAGAGGGGAGCAGGCUUCGCAGAGACAGCAGUUUACAAAUCAGAGAGGGGUCCCAGCAUCAGGCACCAAGCCUGCCUGUGUGAAGGACUGUCCCCAGGGCUGGGCAACCCAGCCAGUAGAGAGCGCCACAGCUUCCCACCGAGGGGCACUUAAAGCCAGGAGCCCACCAGGAGAGCUAACCAAGCCAAGAGAAGGACGAGUGGGAGGGGCCCUGGUAUUUUGUUGACUGGCCAGAAGCCUGGGUACAGGGAUUCCCUACCUCUCUCUGCUCAAUGACUGCUGUGGGAAGCAGCUUAGUUAGGGUUUCUGUCGCUGUGAUGAAACACCAUGAGGAAAAGCAACGUAGGGGAAGGAAAAGGUUUGUUUUGCUUACACUUCCACUGGGCAAUCCAUUAUCUACGCAAGUCCUGGCAGGGACCUGGAGGCAGAAACUGAAGCAGAGGCCACAGAGGAACGUUGCUCACUGGCUCGUUCCUCCUGGCUUGCUUCUUACACAACUCAAAACCACUUACCCAAGGUUGGCACCACCACAGUGAGCUGGGCCCUCCUAUGUCAAGAAAACGCCCUUCAGAGUUGCCUACAGAUCGAUUAGACGGAGGUAUUUUCUCAGUUGAAGGACCCUCUUUCCAGAUGACUCUAGCUUAUGUGAAAUUG